rnacentral:rRNA from 1 species
GACGAACCGUGCGAACGUUGUUCGGAAUCACUGGGCUUAAAGGGCGCGUAGGCGGGUCACCAAGUCCGGGGUGAAAUCUUUCGGCUUAACCGGAAAAUAGCCUUGGAUACUGGUGGUCUCGAGCGAGGUAGGGGCAGCUGGAACUUCCGGUGGAGCGGUGAAAUGCGUUGAUAUCGGAAGGAACGCCGGUGGCGAAAGCGAGCUGCUGGACCUCUUCUGACGCUGAGGCGCGAAAGCCAGGGGAGCAAACGGG